rnacentral:rRNA from 1 species
CUAACGCAUUAAGCACUCCGCCUGGGGAGUACGACCGCAAGGUUGAAACUCAAAGGAAUUGACGGGGGCCCGCACAAGCGGUGGAGCAUGUGGUUUAAUUCGAAGCAACGCGAAGAACCUUACCAGGUCUUGACAUCCUUUGACCACUCUAGAGAUAGAGCUUCCCCUUCGGGGGCAAAGUGACAGGUGGUGCAUGGUUGUCGUCAGCUCGUGUCGUGAGAUGUUGGGUUAAGUCCCGCAACGAGCGCAACCCUUAUUGUUAGUUGCCAUCAUUCAGUUGGGCACUCUAGCAAGACUGCCGGUGACAAACCGGAGGAAGGUGGGGAUGACGUCAAAUCAUCAUGCCCCUUAUGACCUGGGCUACACACGUGCU